UUUAUGUGUGUAUUAUACGUGUUUAUUAUUAUCGAGUACGUAAAAACUAAUUGGUGAAGCAUCGAGACUAAUUUGUACUCCUCAAAUAUUUGAUCUCGUAUCAUUCUCAUAAUGAAAUUCCAUAUAUAUAAUUUGUAAACUUGUUAAAACCCCGGUUGGGGAAUGUGGGGGAAGUGGGAGCGGAGGGGGAUGUGGGUUAAGGUUUAUUAUCUUCGGUUUAAAAUAGAAUUAAAAGGACGCUUGGGGAAAAAUUCAAUAAUAGAGAAGAUAAAUGGAUAGAUAAAUAGAUAAUGAAGAAAUAAUAAAUACAAUUGACGCAUUUUUAGGGGAUGAGUGAUGAAACAAAGGAAAAGAAGGAACGCACGGGCGCGUGCUUGCGUAGGUGUCAACCUGGACAACGAUCCCAACGCGCAGUUAAAUUAGAAUUAAUCCGUGAAAUGUUCUGUCAAUUGGAUCAUAAAUUUAUCUGACUUUUUGGACAAUUUAUAUAAGAUUGAAGACUAUCAAUGAAAAUAUACAAAAAAAAUAAUAGUGAUCAUCAAAUCAGUGUAUAUCCUUAUUUGCAAAAUAUAUUUCUAUUCUUAUUUCAAUGAAAUAAUAAUAAUAAUCAUUGUGUCGAACUUCGAACGUAAUUCUGAUAUUGAACAAGAGGAGAUUGAAAUAAAUGUCCGAAGAAUUAAAGAAGAAUUCAUCUUGAAAAGUGGAAUAAAGGGACACGUGAAUCGGGUGUAGGGGGUGGUGGGUGGUUAUUAUCUCGUCGUAACUUGUUAAUCCCUCGAAGAAGGUAAAACGACGAAGCGGAUGCUGCGUACGAAGAGAGUUACGCGAUUAAGAAGACAACGAGGACGACGCCGACGAGGAGGAGAAGGUGGAGGAGGAGGAGGAAGAGGAAGAGGAGGCACUCGCGGUACCAAAGAGAGUCACUGACCUCUCGACCGAUUAAAGUUCAGAGUGUGUGAUGUUUGAUGCUGCAGUGGUGCUUUAUGCGGAGGCGACGAAAAGGAGAGAAAGAGAAAGGAAGGUGGUUGGCUUAACUCUCAUUUAUGUGAGUUGAUCAUAUUCAAGUAUCGUCUUUAAAUUCGUAACGAGAACUCACUUACCGUUAAUCAAGCACGGCAAAAGGAAAGAAAGAAAUUUUUAGUCGAUGCGUUUACCAAAAAGGAAGAAGAAGAAAAAGAGAGAGAGAGAGAGAGAGAGAGAGAGAGAGAAAAAAGAAAGAGAAAACAAACAGAGACAAAAGAGUAUCAAUGAGCAAUGUGCCAGAGAUUAUUCGAAGAGACUCGGGUUCGAUUAGUUCGCGUGUUAUUAUUAUUUCCCUUCUUCUUCGUUUUCGUUAAUCGAUUAUUUCAUUUCAUUCGAACCGAGAAA